UGCUCAUUAUCUCUCUCACAGACGUUUUUACUUUCUACCGUUCCAGUUGUUGCAGUUUGCCGUUUUUUUCCUUCUAUGCUUAUACAUCAGUCGCAUUACGAACACACAACCAGCCACUGCGAGUGGAGAUUCUGCUUUGGUGACCACCAACAUGUCCAUGAACCACUACAACUCUGUUGGGUUGAACCAGCCUUGCAACCACAUCAACCACGAGAGGGAUCGAACCAGCCUCUCCCUCUUUUGGGUUUAUCUUCAACCUCUACAACUCUUCGAUUGUCACAAUUUUCUUUAAGGGCGCAGGGUUUGGAUUCGGUCAAUUGAAUGUGGUGAUUUCUGCUGGCUAAUCAGGUUAUUACUGGAAGAAGACUGAACAUUAGGACUUAAUGGAGUCUGUUGCAGAUCCAUUAUUAUUGAAAAUGUGUAUUUAAAGGUUUAUUUUCUCAUGGUCAUCGCUCUUCUCUUCUAUUGGCUUAAAAUCAUUAUUAGUUGUUAUAUCUGUAAUCUAUACAAGUUAGGAUUGCUAUAUCUGCAGUCUAGAAGGAAAUUUCUAGCAACAGAUGAAUCAUUACGAGUGAAGGGAUGUGAAUCUAUGUAUGCUAUUGGUGAUUGUGCUUUAAUAUAUCAACAGAAAAUCAUGUUUUCUUCUACAUAUUGGAGUGGAGACAUUACAAUACUUCUUUAAACAGUUCCCUACCAUAUUGAAGAAGUGCUGGACUAUUUUUUUUACCUAGAGAUACAUUCUGGUGGACAUUUGGGCAUGAGAUUGAAAAUCAAGCACUUUAAAUUCACAAGGUAAACACAUUUGCUACAGAGGUUGUGUUUUUGGAGUGGUGGAAAUUUAAGACUGAAGGAAUUUCAACUCUUUUUUUUUCGAAAGAAGGUUUAAAUAUGAAUAACUCUGCAAGUUGACUCUUACACCUUUUUUUUCAUAGGCUAGCUCCUGACCACAUUACAAAAUUUUCUUUGGCAACUUAGAAAGUACUUCAGAGAUCAAUUAAACUUCUCAACAUCUUUUGGAUUCAUGGCCAUCCCUGCUCCUUCAAGUAUUUGCAAUGCAGAUAUUAGUUAAUUAUUAAUGACAGUUAAAUCAGUUAAUUAGUUAGAAGUCUAUAAUUGUAUACGUAGCUUUGGUUGCAAUUAGUGAAAUGAAAAUUCAGAUGGAAGUAGUGUAUGUUAUAUUAACAUGUUCUUACAAGUGUCAAUUUGAAAGUAACUCUUUUUUUUGUUUGUGUUUUUGAACAUCCAUGUGUUUAAUUGGAGAGAUUUUGAAUGAGAUCUGAUGUUGGCACCCCCAUGGAUGCAAAUGAUAUGAGUACUUUAAGGGUAUAAAAUUUGCAGGUAAAACUCGGAAUAUCGAUCUUGCUGUACAAAUCUUUAAUGGUGCUGCUAACAAGGGUGUGAAGACAACCAACAUUGAUUAUUUACAAUGCGCUCAAAGGAGGACUCUAAUGAAUGAGAUGAUAUUGGAUCCCUCCAUUGCAGACAUGUUUACCAUACUGUGUGUAUUGAACAAUGACUAAUGCAUAAGAACCUUUCGCAUUUGUAAGAAAACAAGGUUGGCAAAAUGAGGCAUAUCUCAAAUAUUUUAUCUUAGAAGAUCAACAUGUAGGUAUUAAAUGGGCCCUUAGUUGAAUUUGUUAUUAACAUUUUUUGUCUAUUUGUUGAAGCCAAUAAUCUCAGGUGAAAGUAGCAGCGCUUGAGAUGAUUGGUUUGGAUGGAGGAACAUUUUCUAAUUCCUUUUUUAUUUCCUACUUCAAUUUCUCCUUAUUGAAAUUCAUAUGUUUGUUUGCAUAAGAGGUUUGUUAGUUUUGGACUAUAAUUAGAAGGAACAGUUCUAAAGAAAAUUAGUCGAAUGGAAGGAGGAUUAAGCAAAGUGCUUCAAUUCUUUUUCUUAUUUGUUUCUAAUAC